GCGACUACGAUGCGGUCGCACGGUGGCGGGCGAGGCGACGUGACGCGGUCGCACGGUGGGGGGACGAGGCGAGGCCAUGUGCAGCGAGGCGAAGGGCGGGCGACGCGGCCGUAGGGUCCCGUCGAGCGCGCGACGGCGCGAGAGGCUCCGCGACGCGGCGCUGCGGCUGUCCCGUGAAGCUGAUCCGCCGAAAUGCGCCCCUCGCCGCCGGCGAUCAGUGGAGUUGAUUAGGAACAACGUAGUCUGAUGAGAUGAUAAUGCAGCUUCCGAAUCAAUUGUAGCCUCCGUCAGUGGCCACGUCGAGGGAUCAAUCCCAUUGUGUUCUCAUUCCCAGCAGAAGAUAAAAUUAUAUCUGUUUCCGAAUUUGUGGACUCAUUGACCCUCAUCAACACAUAUGAACCGACCUACCGACCUGUUGCUAACUCUACUUGAUCAUGUAUGCCCCUGUAUCACAGGAUUUAUUCAUCUCUAUCCACAUGUGCCCAUGUUCUUAUUUGUGAGCAGUUUCACUUCUACAUACAGUCCCAUAUCAGAACACAACACAUGGUCAUGUCUUUUCUUAAAUAUUUAAGUUACUUGGAACUUUUACAUGCGAAAACCAUAUGAAAUUAACCUGUCAAAACUGUCCAGGAGUGCUCCGAAAGAAAAAUCUUCCAUCCCGAGCUACCGGAAUUUCGGUAUGUCUUGGCUUGCUUCUUCUGUAGGACUCCUCUAGAUGAACUAUAGUCCAAAUCAAUUUAUAGAUACAUUACAGCUAUCAUUAUGUCACUCUGUUUCUUCUACCUUAUUUAUACUUUUCUUACGUGCCAACUUUCUAUUUGUAUCUCUAUAUUCAGGGCUGUGAUGUGUUA